UUCGGGUAUCCAAGCUUGCUUGC
rnacentral:siRNA from 1 species